UCUCUCUCCUCCCUUUUCUAUGAUCUGGGUUUUAAUUUCACUACUUUUCUUUCACCUUUUGCUGUUCGACCGUGCUCAAAGCUAAGGUUUCACUUUUGUUUCCUCAAAACUCAUCUGCUGCUGGUGGUGUUAGCCGUGAACGGAAACGAGGUGUUCCAUGGACGGAAGAUGAACAUAAGUUAAUUUUGCUUGGAUUGAGUAAGGUAGGUGAAGGUGAUUGGCGAGGAAUUUUCUCAAAACUCGAACUCCAGUGCAAGUUGCCGGUCAUGCUCAGAAAUACUUUCCCCGACGAAAUAGUCUCAAUCGCCGCCGUCGUAUAUCUAACCUCUUCGAUUUCACCAUCGAUUCGGUAUUAUUUCUUGAUUCCUUCAAAACAUCAUUCGAUUUCCUCCAUUAGAGCUGAGGUAAGCUGUUUCUUUUCUGUUUCUAUCAAUGAUGAAUUGUAAUGGUUCCGAUGAUUGAAUUUUGUUUAUAUACAUGUAAAUUUAAAUUCUGAAGCAUAAAUUUGGUAUUUUGUAUUUAAAGGAAUCUUGAGGGUUCUUCCACUUUUUGAACCUCUUUUGAUUUCUUGAUUAUACAUUUUAAAUUUUGAUUUGAAUUUCUUUAAUUUAAUUGAUUUAUUAUGGUCGUGGUCAGAUGGCUUUUUGCUGCUGCUCAUGGGACGACUCUGGAUGUCUAACUUUUCUUACAAUCCCGGAGUGAUUCCUUAUGGAAACCAACUGCUUGAAGAGGGAAAAUUUGUGAGUCGUGAAGUAGUUUAGAACUAUUUUAUAAACAUGUAGAUUACCUAAUUGAUUUGAUUAAUUUUGUUUUAAGUUUCUCAAAUUUAAUUGGUUCAGGGUUUCUGAUGAGUUUUUUUUUUUUGAUUUGCAUCUUAUGAGGAGUAUUUCGGCCUUUUGUCUCUAAACACAGCUGCUGAGUAUAGAACGGUUGCUCUUGCUGGAUCCAUUUGAUGAGUCUUUUCCCCAAAUCCAUGAUUCUAUGUUUGUGAUCAGGGAAACCAUUAAAGGAAUCAUCAGAACUGAAACCUGUGGCCAAGAAGCCUGCAACUCAGGCCAAGGUUCCUUUUGAAAAAGGUUUUAGUCCAAUGGAUUGGGUCAAGCUUACUCGUACGCAUCCUGACCUUGCAGGAUUGAAUGGCCAGUCAAAUAGGAGGCUUAUACCUAUGAGUGAAGUCAAACAACAUCAAUAAGAAGGCACCAUGUGGACAGUUGUGCAUGGACGUGUGUAUAACAUUUCUCCAUACAUGAAAUUUCACCCUGGAGGAAGAAGCCCUAGAAUGGAAGAGAUGCCGGAGAGCGUACGGAGCAGUUUGGGACAUAGCAAAUCCACCAAGGGGUCCUCUAAUAGUGACGCUCUUCUUAGAUGGAAGUGUAAGUAAGAGAGCUAGAUGGGUUUUGGUUCCUAAAUUCAUCCUUACUUAUUGGCAAGCUGGUGUUGCUUAUGAUACUUCUAUUAAACUUAAAUAGAUAAUUUAGGGCUACUUUAUUCAUGUUUAAUUAAUUAUAUAUAUGCUGGAUUCUUAAUUAAGAUCAUGAAUCAUUGUAUGAUUUUGUGGAGCAAUCCUACUUAAUUAAUUUUUUUUUUGUUUUAUUUUAAAAGCCACAAUUGGCAUCUUUAAUGAGUGAGGGGUUUGUACUUUGUAUUGUAUACUUGUAUUGUGUGAGAACCAUGCGUACUUUAAAUCGUUAGUUUAAUUCUGCCAUGACUG